ACGUGAAACCGCUUAGGGGUUAAGCCCGAUGAACCUGAAUAUCUGAAUUGAGAAAUUCAAUGCUUUUUUAUUGUGUUUUUACGCGAUUGAAGGUAUGCACUUUUCUCAUAGUAGGACAUUGCGAUCCAUUAGUAGUCUUUUUAAGACGGUUUAUCAAACGGCCCGUAUAGUCAGUUUGCUCUACCUGUAAUACUUGCUAUUAUAUGGGCAAUGCUAUGUGGUGACCUGGUAAACAGCUGAUGGAGCUUAUAAAUCAUGCAAACAUGUAUAUGAAUUACGGUUUAUUUUUAUAUUUAAACGCAGUAAUCGCAUGUAUUUGAUUAGCAAUGCGAUAGAUUUGGGAUACCUUCGGGACCCGUCUUGAAACACGGACCAAGAAGUCUAACAUGUGUGUGAGUCAUUGGGUAUUUUUAUGAAACCUAAAGGCGAAAUUAAAAUAACUAUUUUAAUGGGAUUACAAGCAAUUUUAUAUAAUUGUUUCUCCAUCCCGGGGCGUUCUAUCAGAACAUGGUUUAAGCGAUUAGGCCCUCUGUUCUAGAGCGUACUUUGAACAUACAUGCUGUGACCCGAAAGAUGGUGAACUAUACCUGAUCAGGUUGAAGUC
rnacentral:rRNA from 1 species